rnacentral:rRNA from 1 species
CAGGCUUAACACAUGCAAGUCGAGGGGCAGCAUGGUCUUAGCUUGCUAAGGCCGAUGGCGACCGGCGCACGGGUGAGUAACACGUAUCCAACCUGCCGUCUACUCUUGGACAGCCUUCUGAAAGGAAGAUUAAUACGAGAUGGCAUCAUGAGUCCGCAUGUUCACAUGAUUAAAGGUAUUCCGGUAGACGAUGGGGAUGCGUUCCAUUAGAUAGUAGGCGGGGUAACGGCCCACCUAGUCUUCGAUGGAUAGGGGUUCUGAGAGGAAGGUCCCCCACAUUGGAACUGAGACACGGUCCAAACUCCUACGGGAGGCAGCAGUGAGGAAUAUUGGUCAAUGGGCGAGAGCCUGAACCAGCCAAGUAGCGUGAAGGAUGACUGCCCUAUGGGUUGUAAACUUCUUUUAUAAAGGAAUAAAGUCGGGUAUGUAUACCCGUUUGCAUGUACUUUAUGAAUAAGGAUCGGCUGACUCCGUGCCAGCAGCCGCGGUAAUACGGAGGAUCCGAGCGUUAUCCGGAUUUAUUGGGUUUAAAGGGAGCGUAGAUGGAUGUUUAAGUCAGUUGUGAAAGUUUGCGGCUCAACCGUAAAAUUGCAGUUGAUACUGGAUAUCUUGAGUGCAGUUGAGGCAGGCGGAAUUCGUGGUGUAGCGGUGAAAUGCUUAGAUAUCACGAAGAACUCCGAUUGCGAAGGCAGCCUGCUAAGCUGCAACUGACAUUGAGGCUCGAAAGUGUGGGUAUCAAACAGGAUUAGAUACCCUGGUAGUCCACACGGUAAACGAUGAAUACUCGCUGUUUGCGAUAUACUGCAAGCGGCCAAGCGAAAGCGUUAAGUAUUCCACCUGGGGAGUACGCCGGCAACGGUGAA